UUUCCUCUAGAGGGUGCACUUUCUCCAACACAGUCCCAACCGUGCCCUGGGGUUGGCAGUCUCAAGAGCAGCAGCCUGAAUAGUGAGCCGGAAUCCGGCUAUCUGCCUCCUUUCUUCUAUAAGAAGUGAGCUAAUUCUUUCCCUAAAGCAAAGCCACGAAUGCUGCAGAGUGAAUGGAUUUAUCACCGCCUUUCUCAAGUGCUUGAUGGCUCAGGAGACAAGACAGCUCUUGUGACGGGAACUGGCCAAGGUCCUCCAUUGUUUUUAGGAUACACUGCAAGCCUUUGGCAUGGCAGUCGAGGCCAUGGACUAUGUCUGCAUCUGCUCCACCAGAAGCAAGUCUUUUUUAAGACCAAGGGAGAGAUGACUGAAGGCACCGCCGGCCGUCUGGACAGGUCUGAGCAGGGCUGCCGCCUUGAUGCACCACACCGGAGAUGACUUCCUGAAGACCUUCAGGAGGAGCCGCCGGGACAAGGAAGAGGGGAUCCAAGCUCAGUCAGGCAUGACUCAUGCUGCAAAUGUUUGCAGAUCUUUUCAGAAGGUGAAGGAAAGACUUCAACGCCAACCCUUCUGUGGGUCAGCUGACUUGGGGGGAGGGGCAGGGGCGUGGUAAAAGAGCGGGUUUUAACUCUGCUGCAUGGGGGGUGGGAAGGUUAAGUUAGCAGAGGGCUUGCAUGGCAUGCAUGAGGCCCUGCGUUUGACCCCCAACAGUGCAUAAAGCAGUAACAGUGGCACAGCUGUCAUCCCAAUGCUCAGGAGGUCGAGCCAAGAGAAUGAGAGGUUCGAGGUUAUCCUCGGCUACGUAGCAAGUCUAAAGCCAGACGGGGCUACAUGAGACCCUGUCUCAAAAAUUAAUCAAGGGGCUGGGGAGAU